GUACUUGCUUUGACAGCACAUAUACUAAAAUUGGAACAACACAGAGAAGAUUAGCAUGGCCCCUGCACAAGGAUGAUACACAAAUUUGUGGAGCAUUCCAUUUUUUA